ensembl:snoRNA
GGUCUGUGAUGAGUUUUGGCAUGCAUUAUCUGAGUGUAAAUUUGAAGAUUAUCGGUUUAGCUCUAGAAUUACUCUGAGACCUG